ACUUAAGUAGCUUAAAUUUGAGAGUGUAAUAUUGAAGAUAUUAAGAUGAUAUUAAAUCCUUAGGUG
rnacentral:tRNA from 1 species